ACUAGUACAGCUGACUUCCAAUCAGCUAGUUUCGGUCUAGUCCGAAAAAGAAUA
rnacentral:tRNA from 1 species